rnacentral:hammerhead_ribozyme from 16 species
CAGCCGUCGGCGCCCGCUGACACAAUUGAGUCGACUAACGUGGUCCUGAUGAGUCUAUAUAAGACGAAACGGGUU